rnacentral:misc_RNA from 1 species
UGAAAUAGAACUAUCUUCUCCAUGAGUGCAAAAUCAAGAAAAACAGAAGUUUAUGAUGCUGCUUUCCUACAAGGAUGUUAUUUUUCUGAAGAUAUUCUGAAUAAUUGCAACAGCUAGUCUUUCUUUUUUCUUUUUAUAAUGUUCAGUCAAUAGAUUGUCAGUAAUGACGAAUCAAUUUUUGUCUGGACGCUGACCUGCCAAUAUGCCUCUUUACCAAUAACUCCUCCCAUCCUAUUUUAUGAAUGAUGUGAUUUUGGACUCUUAGGAAGGGAUGUUAGUACCCAAUGCUGCUGUCAUAUAUGAAAGUUGAAACAAUGAAAAGUGUGCCACAUUCAACAUCACAAACUUCAAGACCGCCAACUACCUUUUCAGACUUGUUAAUUCACCAAUUUAUAUCUCAUCUUCUACUACCCAUUUUCAGCACCUCUGCUUUUUGUCCCAAAAUGAGCAACUAAAACAAACUAUAAUUUUAAAAAAAUGAAAUUAUG